UGGUCUUGAGCAGAAGCUGAAACCAUCUCGCUGAAUAAAACCGAAACUAAAGAGGGGUUGGAGUCUCCAGUGUCUGGUACUGCAGAUUGUACCCUGAAGACCGCUGCAUCCGUCUGAGAUGACUGCUGAAA